UUAGUAGGAUCUGUAAAUAAAUCUUUAAAGAAGCAAGGAAGCCUUUAGAACUCUGCCCAAUGAUCUCAGAAAUGUCUUGUCCAUUCUUAGGUGCCUACACUUUCAUCAGAGAAAUAGGUAAUAGUCCUGUAAUAGGUCCUUAAGCCUCUUGUGUAUUCCUUCAUCCUGCCUACCUUUUAGUUUUAAUCCUUUGUUUUCCUUAUCCAAAACCAUGUGUGACUCAGUCAAGUUCAGACUCUUCAAUUAAAUCUGUGAAGAUCUAUAUGCAUCUACUUCUCUACACUCAAUCUCUUCUCAUUUCACUCCAGAAGCCCUGUGCACAUGGACAUGGAGACUGCUUGCUGUGUUCCAGCCAUACAUUGAGACCUUUGUUUAUGCUAUUUAUUCCAUCUGGAAUAUUCUCCUUCUACCAAGCCCUGAAAUGCACUUUCUUCCUGAUCCUCCUCCAGUCUGUUCUCAAAGAUUCUAUUCAUCCCAGAGGUGCUAACGCGGCUUGGCUGUCACCUUCAAUGCAUCACCCGAGGCUGAGAGCCCCCCUCGUCACUCCUAGCUUGCAGUCUCACAAUUCCAUUUCCCCACCCAAAUACAUCCAUUUUAAUAUGCACAUCACAGGCAAGCAGCACGGUCACAAAGGAGCCCCGCCAGAAGCAGUUCCCACGUGGUGAAAUGGAUGACCAGCCACCAGCCCUGGCCUUGCAAUUCCCAACAGAUGGAUACCCAGCAGAGGCCUGUCUACCAGUGUCAAUGCCUAUGUGUCAGCUGCUUGUACCUCGGAAGCCACCUUCCAGGAGAGUGGUGGCCCGUAUCCGCUUCUGCCCACACCACUCAUACUCCUCAAAGCGGUUGCUGUUUUCAUGCUCGAUGUCCACGGCAUCAUCCUCAGCCAUGCAGGAGCCUUCCCUCUGUGAAGAGCAGAGCAGGAUCAUGCAGGGUCCAAGCCAUCCCCCCCUGCUCCCCAGGGCUUGCAAGGAAGGCACAGCCCAAGCCCCUGCUUAUAUACCAUAUAGGCUCCAGCUCUAGGGCUCCUCUGAAGUAAAACCAAUUUAGAGGUCAAAGACCUGGACCUCUUCCCAAUAACUUUCCAUGGGAGCCCAAGUGGGGAGUGAGAAAGAGUGAAAGCAAAGGGAAAGAGCAAACAAAAGGGAAAAGCUAUUAAGAUCACAUGAAGACCCCAAGAGCCCACAGAUUUGGGGGCAGUCAGCAGCUAGUGUCAAGGGCAGGAAGGGGAGAAUGAAGGUGGGUGGUGACGGUCCCUCUACCUUAGAAAGGCAAUGCUCCACAUGCCUACUCAUCUCCUGUUCCGAUCCUGCCAGGGGGCGGUUGCACAGGGGACAUACCUGCCCUUCAUCUUGCUUCCUCCGUUUCAUUUUCCCAAUCCGAGCUGCAUGGAGAAAUCAGAAACAAGGCACAGAAUAAGCAAUCACUAUAACUAGAGUCCCAGUGGAGCUAACACAUUCUGACCUGCUGUCAGCCAUUAGCCCUUUUGUUCAGUGCCUGAUCUGGCCCUCAUUUUACAAUGCUUCCUCCUGCUCCUUUGGGGAAGAGAACUUCCCAAGAGCAUCAGAGAGGAGAUGGGUGCUAGGCCAGGAAGUGUCCACUCUUUGGCUAUAGUUGGCUCAAGCUCAACGAAUACCUUUCUAUCUGCUGUCUUCAAUGAGUCCAAAGGGCAAAGACACUCCAAUUAUUGCUAGAUAUUGCUUCAGAAGGUCAAGACCACAGGCUCUUUGGUGUCAGGAAAUACAACUUUAGAGAACAUUUCUUGGUUAGAACUCAAGGUCACCCCAGGGGCCAGAUUUGGCAUACUGUUUUCUCAUCAAUUAAACUACCCUUUUAUUCCAGGGCUAAGAGCCCUGAAGUACAAUCCCUGGAGUCCUACCUAGAAUUAUCCUAGGAGGAAUUGGAAUUUCUCUGACAUCCACUGGUCCCAUUUUAUAGGAAAGGAAACUGAGGCCCAGUUAUAAAUAGAGAGUAUCUGGGUCAGACCAUGGAUGGCCAGGUCAGGGUACCCAAGAUACCUUGAAAUGGAAACCCUUGAUGUGCCUACCCCAAACCUGUUCCAUCAUUUCUAAUCAGUACAGAGGGGCUAGCAGGCCCCAGAGACAGAGGACCGCCUGCCAUGCUAUCCCGCAGGGGGCUCAGUUCCAAAGUGCACACUGCAAGCCCACAGCACUGCUAAUUAAUGCUGAGAGAUGCAAUCAUUUCUAAUUAGCUCACUAAUCCCUCUCUGCAGUCCUCCUGUCACUGAAGCAGGGAGGGGUCAAAACAAGGGACUCUGUUCUCUCUAGUCCUCCUAGGAUACAAUAGAAGGAUCAGAGAUGACCACUAUAAUACCAGACACUGAAAGGAGAGAUGGAGAGGUGCCUGCCAAGGAGAGGAAGAUUCUCCACUGCAGAGCCAGGGAAGAACAACUUACAUACUAUUUUGCUUUCUUUUUCUUUUCUUUUCUUUCUUUUUUCUUUUGGUAGUACAAGGCAUUAAAUCAGGGUGCACUACCACUGAGCUACAUCCCCAGCCCUUUUUAUUAUUUUGAGACAGACAGGUCUCGCUAAGUUGUUAGAGCUGGUCUCAAACUUGUGAUCCUCCUGCCUCAGUCUCCCGAGUUGCUUGGAUUACAAACAUGUACCAUCAUACCAGGCCAGGAAGAACUUUCUUAUGUAUGCUGACUCUGAUGGGAAGCUUAUGAAUGCAAUAAAGGAAGGAACACAGAUGACAGUUAUGGUGUAAAUCAGAACUUCUACUCUUAAGUCAGGCUCAAUGUCAGGCACCUUCACAAUGAGGCUCAUCUACAUCUAUAAUGAAGCUAAGGUUGUAUUCCCCCAAGCGCUUAGUGACCAAUGUGCUUGCCCAAGAUGCUGACAUGUGGCAAAAGUAACAUAAGAAACUAGGCCUGACUCUGUGGUUAGAAUGCUCUCCUGCCCCAAUGGUUCCCCAUACUUAGCAAUAUCAACAAAAUUGAUCCUAGAGAGUGUGCUAGGCUCCAACUCCUGCCCGUUGAAGGUUCAAGGAGAAAGCUUCUUCAACUACAGAGCAGUCUGACCCUAGAUAAAGACCCAAACCAAAGGGAAAAUCACUGGCCCACCAAACUGAGCAUGGAGUUUGAGAAACCUUGGUCUACAGCCCAGCCCAUCUCAAUUACCUGUGUUUCCACUAUAGAGAUGUGACUAUGUUCUGGAGCUCCUGGGACUUUGUGGACAAAGAUCCAGAUCACAUUGCUUUGGCUUACUUAACUAGAAUCUCAAAUUCAGGCAACCUUGACAUUCCACAGCUGGGAUGGAGAAGGGAUGUAAUACAUCAGAAAGGCAUUGAGCAAAGGCCCCCUGAGAAUUCUAGAAGUCUAGUCUGAAGCAGUGUGCCAACACAAAAGGUCCUCACCGUCCAAUGACUGAAUAAAGAAAUGAAUCUCAGAACCACCAAAGAGGGCAUGAUACUGGAUGCUCUCCUUGUCCAGGACACCCUAGGAGAGCAGAUGAUCCCUUAUAGUCUCAGAAAGCUAUGACAAUGUACUGGGCUUCUUUUUAAAAUCCUCAGUCACCAGCACCUCUACCCUCCAAGAGCCAAAUCAAUGAAGCAGGAAAGAAUCUGAAGAUACUGGAAAAUCUUGAGGCUGUUUUUCCUGUUUGGGAAACAGGACCUGCCCUUCCAGUCACAUUAUGAUUCAUCUGCCUUCCAACAUCUGAAUGCAGAGAGGGGAGAAUCUUCAUCCAUUCAAUCAGCAAGCAAUUAAACCUCAGAUAGAAGAGGUCCAUUUUGGGGGGCUGGGUCCUGAUAGUUCUGGGGACAUGGGAUGAUUUAGGGCAAGUUCCUGCUCACUAGGAGUUCUCACCAUCUCUCAGGAGGUGACAUUGUCAAGUGACUACAGCCUUUUGAAAGCACCCCCUCCCUGAAGCUCUGAGCUUUGCUGGGGCACGUGGAUAGGUGCUGAGAAGGUCAGAAGCCAGGGAGCCAGGAGGGUGCUGAAGGAGCCAGUCUCUGCCUGGGCCAAGGGGGACCCUCAGCAAGACUCAACUCCCAGCCCAGGAAAUGCCCUCCCUGGAGGGAGCUCUGGGCUCAUGGAGCUGGAGGUCGGGGAUGGGGGCUGUGUCAGAGAUGACUCCUCCAGAGAAGAAGUUGUGGGUGGCUUCAUGAUGCUUCUUUGUACAGGCCCUUUUUUCCUGGCAGAUCACAGGUCACCCUCCUGCUUUCAAAGUGGACAAAUGAACUGGGUCACAAAACUUCAGAAGUUAUGUUCCUGGUAUAAAGAGAACUACACUGACGCAGAGAAGUGGGUCUGCUCUAAAGGAGACCGGGAUGCCCUGACCCCUUAGGGCCAAAGUCCUCUCCACCCCCCCCCCCAUGAAGCUGACAGCUUCUCCAACAAAUCUCCCUUGAGGUCAGCCCAACCUCCUUCCUUCGGCUCCCCUUCCCACAAGUCAGAGCUGUGGCCCCUUCCCCACAGGCAUUACCCACCUGCCCCGGUGGCACCCUUCCUCCUAGGCUAGUUUGAAAUCUCCCCGGAGAUGCCCCCUGCCUCGCCCGCUGGCGCUUGCCUGCUGGAUCCUUGGUGCUGCCUGCCCUCCCUCCCUCCUUCUCAUCUCUAUAUAUCUGUCUAAUGAACAUUUCAAUAAGCCGAGCACAGCUUUUUCCACUUAAUAAGCAGAGUGCUGACUUCAUUGCGGGUUUGCUCUUCACUUAUCUGUUCAGGGCCUUAAAUCAUUCCCAGGAAAAAGCUUAGCAAAGGGAAACCUGGUAUCCUAGUUAUCGGCUGCUCCUGUCAGCACCUGCCCUGCUGGGACUAAGGGGAAGCCCUGCUUCCACAAAACAGCAUGGAAGUGUGAAUAAAACUCCCGGAAUAGCCAAGAGUCUGGAAAGCUGACUCAUGAAAGGAGGCGAGGGGAUGUUGUCACUGAAGGAAGUGCUGGAGGUAAGGUGGAAGAGGCAGAGGAGGUUGGCCUGGGGUGUCCUGCUUCAAGGAGGGGAAUAAGGGAGAGAUAAGGGAGACAUCCUGAGAAAGACAGGUUUAAUGAGCACAUAUUAUAUGUUAGCCCUAGGGACAAAACAAGGAACAAAAGUGUCACAGUCCCUGCCCUCAUGAACUUUCUUUCUGGCAAGACAGGAAAAUAUUACAUAAACAAUUGCCUAGACAAUGGCUUCAGGGGACAAGGACAGGUGUUAUGGGAAUGAGUGAUGGGGACUAGGAAAAGUUUCCUUUAGAAGAUGAGGUUUAAGCUAAGGUAUGAAAAGAUUAGGCUGUUACAGGUAACAGGUAACUCAGGAGAGACCAGAAUAGUCCAAUAAUGAAUCACCUUCACCAGGUUUAUUACCUGUUGUUCUUUGUUGAGGCCAUGUCAUGUAGUGGUACAGGACACACAGGCUCUGGAGCAAGACAUACUUGGGUCUGAAUUCUAGCUCUUGAACUUACUGGCUGUGAGAUCUUGGGGAGGUUAUUUAAACUGUGCCUUCACAUCUUUAUCUAUAAAAUGGGGUUAAAUUACUUACCUUGCAGGGUCAUUGUAGAGAUUUAACUUGAUACUCAGUAUAAAGAAUGUAUGUCAAGUACGUGGCAUAUAGGACAUAUUCAAUAAAUAGCAGACCUUACCACAAAUAGUACCAAAAUUGUGUAUCUGUUUUUGCCUCGAGCCUAUUAUGAGGUCCUUGAAGACUUCGACAAAGUCUUACAUAUUCUGAUUAGACAGGGAGAACUGAAGAGGCUCUGAUAUUUCACAAGGUGUCAAAGAAAAACCCCAGGCACCCAACCCAAGGUAUGGCCCUUGGCGGGCAGUCAUCUAUGUGGCGGGGGAUGGGCUGGGAAGGCUCUUCUCCAGCUUCCUUCAGGAUUGAGUUGGCAGGAAGAUUUCAGGGCAAAAGGCUACAGACUCAAUUAAAUGUGGACAAGUGCAAGGCAAUGCCUUUUGUGAUAAACACAUCAAAAUCCCCUCCCCAGUGCUCAACUCUGCAUGGUCAGCCUCGGUUCUGGCAAAGGACCUGGAAAUCCUUCUUCAUUUAGACAGUUUCCCGAGGCUGUUGGCCAAGAGGCAAAGAGAAUUGUGAAUAAGAUAUCAAAGAAGAAGGAGCACAUAUUUCUCCAAGUGUCCAGCUAGACAGUCCUACCUGCAGGACUAAGAUGUGUUGUUGUGCCCUAUCCUGGAGAAGAUCCAGGGGGUGCAAAACCUCCUUAGCAGAAAAGAUGGAAUGAUUCACUCUCAAGUCUAGACAUGGGAAGGCUGCUGGGGGACAGAAAGAAAGUCCCAAAGGGUGUAGAGAAGGUGACUAGAGACUCAUUCACAAAAUCCUGAAACUGUAGGCAAAGUGAGUUUGCUUUGAAAUUUGAGCACAUUUAAGAUGGAUAAAGGGGGUUGCUAUUUUGCACAGUGGCCAGUGAAGUUAAAAAUUUCAUUAUCCCAAGCAGAAAACAUGAAUGAAUUGAAAUGUAUUGGGGGA